CGGGGUGCAGCAGGCGCGAAAACUUUACAAUGCCGGCAACGGCGAUAAGGGAACCUCGAGUGCCAGGUUACAAAUCUGGCUGUCGUGAUGCCUAAAAAGCAUUGCAUAGCAAGGGCCGGGCAAGACCGGUGCCAGCCGCCGCGGUAACACCGGCGGCUCGAGUGGUAACCGUUAUUAUUGGGUCUAAAGGGUCUGUAGCCGGCCGGGUAAGUCUCUUGGGAAAUCUGGCAGCUUAACUGUCAGGCUUUCAGGAGAUACUGCCUGGCUCGAGGCCGGGAGAGGUGAGAGGUACUUCAGGGGUAGGGGUGAAAUCUUGUAAUCCUUGAAGGACCACCAGUGGCGAAGGCGUCUCACCAGAACGGACCUGACGGCAAGGGACGAAAGCUAGGGGCACGAACCGGAUUAGAUACCCGGGUAGUCCUAGCCGUAAACGAUACUCGCUAGGUGUCGGCCACGGUGCGACCGUGGUCGGUGCCGUAGGGAAGCCGUGAAGCGAGCCACCUGGGAAGUACGGCCGCGAGGCUGAAACUUAAAGGAAUUGGCGGGGGAGCAC
rnacentral:rRNA from 1 species